ensembl:lncRNA
GGACUCCCCUGGGGCUGCCCUUUGGUGCCUCUGGAAUGUCCACACACGCCUCUCUGCUCUGUGGUCAGUCGGUGGCUGUGAGUUCACAGCCCCACAGGGCUUUGGGUGAGAGCAAGGACGUCUUUCAAAAACCACAAGCUGCUGGAAGAGCCUCCCCCACUUACUCAGAUGUUUCUUUCUCUACAGUUGUUUUCUCUUUCGAGGUUACAGCAGUCAGAAUUAAAAGCUGUAGCCUUGACUCCAAGGCAGAGUUCUUCCUCCCGGGGUCUGCGGUCCAUUCCAUGCGUGCUGGAUGAUUGCAUUUAAGUUUUCUGAAAGAAAAUGCGCAAGUCCUCUGAGUGAUGUCUAUCACGGAAGUUGUAAAACUGUGCCGAGUGUGACCACAGCUUGUGCCUAGAAAUGGACUGAAGAAAACAUCCUAAAACGUUCACAGCGAGUUGUCCCACUGAGUGAUUCCUUUUUUCUACGUCUAUAUUUCUACUUUUCUUGAUUGGUGGAGUCGCCUGAUCUUGUGUCUGUUCAAGCCUCAGUCAACAACCUGGGAGGCCUCUUCCGUCACCAAGUCACCGUGAACUCACACGGCCCUCCUGCCUCUUCCUCUAAGCUCCUUCACCAGGAGAACUGAUGGUCACAUCUACCUUGUUGGACUGUCAUGAGGUACAAAUAGGAUGGUGAUGAUAAACGUUCUUGAAGAACCACAGAGCAUCGUGAAAGAGAAGACUUUCAUGAACAAUCAGAGUGCAUUGUGUUUGCACAUUUAUUCUGAGAGCAACCCUAAAAUGGAAUCAAUUAUGAUGCUUCAAUAUUGCAUAAGGAAUAGGGAAAAUAACCAAGAAUGGAAUAUUUUCUUAAAAUCAAAAUUAUCUGGAAAUCAAAUUCUAGUCUGACUCCUUAACUUAGGUUUCGAAUUUCAGGAUUACACUGCCACCUAGUGCAGACAAACAUUUUCGCAGAGUGUGAAAGCUAGUGAAUGCACAUAAAAUUUCACAGGAUGCAACAUAAACAAUGUUUAUUUAAGGGUUCUUUCAUAAAACAGAAAGAGCGAUUUCAGAAUUACAGAUCUCUAUCUAUGUGUUUUUUUGCUGAGGAAGAUUUGCCCUGAGCUAACAUCUGUUGUCAAUCUUCCUUUUUUUAAAGCGAGCUGCCACCACAGCAUGGCUGCUGACAGGCGAGUGGUGAAGUUCUGAGCCCAGGAUCUGAACCUGGACUGCCAAAGUGGAGUGUGCCAAACUUAACCACUAGGCCACUGGGGCUGGCCUCUAUGCUUUAAUGGUAAAGGGUAACAUGGAAUUCAGGAACACACUUUAGAUUUCUUGCUUGAUAAAUGAGCAUAGUGCAGAGAGAAGACUUGGGUUUCUGUACUUCAUUCUGCUGAGUAAAUUUCUUGAUACAUGUCUAGUAAGGAAAUUAGUACAAUUUUUUCAUGAGCACAAAAGUUCCCAGUGGGUCUUAUGCGUUCAGCUAAUAAUUAUUUAAAAAAUUUAUGCAGCAAAUACUUAACACGUACACUCUGAAGGUCAGUAUCUGUUGUAACAAAGGAGGGGGAGCCUAACGGAGUAGAAAACGUGAGCUUUGUGAGCCGUGGUUCUCGCGGGACCAGCAGCCCAGCGUCGCCUGGGGGCUUGUUGGAAAGGUGAGUUCUCAGACCCGCCGGGAUCUCCUGAAUCAGACUCUGGGGCUGGAGUCCAGUGACGUUUUUAACAAGUCGUUCAGAUGAUUCUGACGCAGUGUGGGAAGCACUGACAGAGAAGACGUCCUUCCAGGAGGGGAGAAGCAGGCUGAGGGGUCACACGAGGUUAAUCAGAAGAAGGGGAGGCUCAGGACGCCAAGGGCUGCUGCAGACUGACGCUCCACCCACGAAGCAGCGCUCCCGGCGGCAGCUCCUGGAAGCUCCUGGUUUCCGUGCAGGGGAAUGGAUUCCUGUCUUCCGUGGGGAAAUGGAAAUGGUCACAUUUUAGGAGAAGCAAAAGUGAUGCACUGAAAAGCCUGGGGAUGGGGUUUAUCUUAAAUACACAUUCUUCUAUUAAUGGUCUGUGGUGUGAACACAUUUGUUUGUGAGUGAUUCCAGAGAGAAAUGGCUACUGUCAUGGGCUCUAUUUGCUUGCUUUAUACGAUUAGGCUACAAUUACAAGUAUAGGACCAAAAUAAGCAGAUUCAAAGUAGAGCUUUGAUUGUGCUGAAAUGUCUUUGCAGUAAAACUGAACCCAAUGCAAAACUGGGGGUGUCCUAGAUUUAGCAGCUCUCUCUUAAUCAGCCUCCCAGCCGGAGAUCUCCGGGAUAAAUUUCUGCCUCGAGCUGUGGCUAAUUUGCAGCAUCCUCACACAGCUGAUAUGUGUCACUAGGAACUUUGGGUCUUUUAUUUCUAAAGGUAAGAUAGACAGAAGAAAGCUUAAAACUCCAUAUUAUUACAAAGCUAAUUUUUAAAGUGCCUCUUUGUUUUAAUCUAUAAAAUCUAUAAAUAUGAGAGUCAUGCCAUGUUUAAUUAACACAAGUUUAUGGCAAUUUCACUUAAAAAGAAUAUUUUCUAAAGACUAUAGUUGCGUUAAAACCAAGGAACUUGCCCCACUAUUCUGUGAGUUUUAUGGCGCCUCCCAACCGUUGUGCCCCGUAUCAGGAAACAAGAGAAAAUAUACCUCUUGGCAUUUCUAGAACCUACUGCAUUUUAAUCCAAUAUUUUUAAAAUCAUGGGUUGCAACCCAUUAGCUGGUCCUGAAAUCAAGUUAUUGAGAUGGCCACCAUCACUAAAAAACGAAAUAGGACAAAACAGAAAGUAGAGAGCGCCACCUUCAAGUGGGUAAGUGUUGUCUUCUGAAACUGUGUUUUGUGUACGUAUCUGUAUUGAUCAAAUCCAGUCGCUCCAUCUCUCCAGCAACUUCACAUGCACCUUUCUGAACACACUUCUAGAGAAGUCCUCCGUGCCCUCAGCCCCUUCACCCAGUUCCCAUAACAGCCAGAAUAAAGUCCAAAUUCUUUCACGGGUUUCAAGAUCCUCCCUCAAGGUCCUUCCAUUUAUUGUUUCAGAAAACGACAUCACCAUCUACUCAGGUGCUCAAGCUCAAAGCCAGGUAGUUCUGCUGGCCCCACCCCUUUUGUGGUCCACCCUGCCGGCUGAUCUUUCUUCUUCAUUCUUGCCGGGGUCUAGUCAACAGGUACCGCCUCAGAGGAGCUCCCUGACCCCUCCGUCUGGAUCAGCCUCCAAACCUACCCCUGCCUUUCUCUAGCACAUGUUGCCCUCUUUUGUAUUUUUUAGUAACAGUUCCAACUGAAAUUAUCUUGUUUGUUCUGGCAAAUGUAUCUGGUAUUGCUCUCCCCACCAGCGUGGCAGAGACCUGGUCUUUCUCUGUCCUGUCUCCGUGCUGACAUCAGUUCAGGGCUUCUGGUAGAAGAGUCACCAAUAACUAUUGACCCAGUGAAAACGUUCCUGAACUAAACUCGUGUUUCCUGAAAUAUUCUCUUCUACCUUUUUGUCAUGGUGCCUGCUGUUUCCUCUGCCCAAAGGGCACCAUAUCCACUUGUUCCCUUGGCAGGCUCCUAUUCAUCCUUUAAGAUUGCACCUGCUCUAUAAAAAACUUCCCGAUGCCCCUGGACUGAGCUCAUCCUUGUUCUCUUGAAGCUACAGCCCCUUUCGCUCACCAAAUGCCGUUGUUUUCAUACUGGAUUUCCCUGCUGGGCUGUGAGCUUCCCCAGGGCAAGGCUGUGGGCACUCAUGCUUUCUGUCUCCUCAACUCCUCACAUGUAAUUCAUCCAUACAGUUAUUCAGUAAAUGUUUGUUGAUUGAGUAAACAAAUGUAAGAAAGCAGAUGAUCAAGAAAGAUGAUUAUUUGUGAUGAUGUUCUCUGAUUUCAACUAUAAGCAAACAAAAUUCUAGAUUUAAGGAAAGGGAAAGAUAAGUCUGUGUGGAUGCCAUAUAGAGCAGUGUUGGGGGGAGGGAGGGAGUAAAGAGGAUGAGAGCAUAAUUAUUCUGUAUAAAAUAGGUCUAUUCAUAACACGGACCAUUUUAAACUUCAAGCUGUCUGAGCGCAUUUACAAUCCGAUACAGCCGACAGGUUUCAUUUCCUCACGGUUUUUAGGAGCAGACGGUGAGGUGAAGUGAGGGAACAGCGUGAACGCUGAGAAAGCUCAUGUGCCCGUGGUUCCAGGUGUGGCCUGGCCCGGCCAGGACCGUGGGGGUCCGCCCGGCUCCCAGUGAGAGUCUGAGAUCCUAUGAGGAAAUGUGAGUAAUAGAAAGCGGGGGUGGAAAGAAGAGGAAAAAUGUCCUGAAAUAUAUGUAUAUAUAAAUGAAAUUUAUAUAUAAAUAUGUGUGUAAUAAAAAUAUCUUGUUUUCCCUGGA